UUACUCCAGCAUUUUUGUCUAUCACGGGUAUUGAGUCAAUUAGUCACCAAAUGGUAGCUGACUGAAUUAUUUUGCAAUUCAUUUUACUGGUUGGAGAAUAAUGAGAUCAAGGAAUGUCCACUAUGACUGUUCCACAACUCUGCGUCCUUUUUUAAUUCAGGUUAAUGUGAGUAUCAUUGGCAAUUGUCAAUAACAGCCGUUAAUGAAUAGAUCAAGCUGCAGUUAUUGACCAUCAUUAGUUGCCCAUGAAUGGUUCAAUUGCGCUUUAUUGUCACAUGUACCUAGGUACAGUGAAAUUCCUUUUUUACAUGUUGUUCAGUAACAAUCUACUAUACAUUAGGCAUAAUUGUACUAAGUGUAAGAUAGCAGGCCACACUGAUUUAGUACACAAGUCACCACAUUUUAGGCACCACUUGUACCUUUCAAGUGAUUUUUUAAAUUUUAUUGUUAGUCUUAACUUAUUCAUAAAGGCCUGUUGUCCUGAAUGAGUGUCCUACGAGGAUAUUUCAGAGGAAUCAAUAACAUUACUUUGGGUUUAGAGUGACCUAUAGACCAGACCUGGUAAGAGCAGCAGAAUUUU